GUUUACAGCCAUACCAUCCUGACCAAGCCUGAUCCCAUCUGAUCUCGGAAGCUAAGCAGAGUAGAGCCUGGUUAGUACUUGAAUGGGAGACCAUGUAGGAAGACCAGGUAAUAAAAAAA
rnacentral:rRNA from 1 species